UAAUCUGGAAAACCUAACGGCCACAAA
rnacentral:piRNA from 1 species